rnacentral:rRNA from 1 species
AGACAACUAGGAUGUUGGCUCAGAAGCAGCCAUCAUUUAAAGAGUGCGUAAUAGCUCACUAGUCGAGUGACCCUGCGCCGAAAAUUUACCGGGGCUAAACAGAUCACCGAAGCUGUGGAUGGAACCCAAUGGGUUCCGUGGUAGGAGAGCGUUCUAAGGGCAUCGAAGCCAGAUCGUGAGGACUGGUGGAGCGCUUAGAAGUGAGAAUGCCGGUAUGAGUAGCGCAAGACGGGUGAGAAUCCCGUCCACCGAAUAACUAAGGUUUCCUGGGGAAGGCUCGUCCUCCCAGGGUUAGUCGGGACCUAAGCUGAGGCCGAUAGGCGUAGGCGAUGGACAACAGGUUGAUAUUCCUGUACCAGUUGCUUUUGUUUGAGCGAUGGAGGGACGCAGGAGGCUAAGGAAUGCACACGAUCGGAAAUGUGUGUCCAAGCAGCAAGUCUGAGAACGAGUGAAAUGCUUUUUCUCUCAAGGACAAGCUGUGAUGGGGAGCGAAAUUUAGUAGCGAAGUUCCUGAUGUCACACUGCCAAGAAAAGCUUCUAGUGAGAAAGUAACUGCCCGUACCGCAAACCGACACAGGUAGUUGAGGAGAGAAUCCUAAGGUGUGCGAGAGAACUCUCGUUAAGGAACUCGGCAAAAUGACCCCGUAACUUCGGGAGAAGGGGUGCUGACCGCAAGGUCAGCCGCAGUGAAUAGGCCCAAGCGACUGUUUAUCAAAAACACAGGUCUCUGCAAAAUCGAAAGAUGACGUAUAGGGGCUGACGCCUGCCCGGUGCUGGAAGGUUAAGAGGAGAGGUUAGCGCAAGCGAAGCUUUGAAUUGAAGCCCCAGUAAACGGCGGCCGUAACUAUAACGGUCCUAAGGUAGCGAAAUUCCUUGUCGGGUAAGUUCCGACCCGCACGAAAGGCGUAACGAUUUGGGCACUGUCUCAACGAGAGACUCGGUGAAAUUAUAGUACCAGUGAAGAUGCUGGUUACCCGCGACAGGACGGAAAGACCCCAUGGAGCUUUACUGCAGUUUGAUAUUGCGUGUUUGUAUCACAUGUACAGGAUAGGUAGGAGCCGAAGAUACCGGGACGCCAGUCUCGGAGGAGGCAACGGUGGGAUACUAC